AUGUCAGCUCUCAGGACCCACACAUGUAUUUUGAGAACAUUUAUUCGUCUUCAGUCACAUAAAACAUAUUCACGCACGUUUUGUGCAAAAUUUAAUGGAGAAAAUGCUGUUUUGAAAUGGACGAAACGAAACUCGUAUCCUGUCAUAACAAAUAUACCUUGUGUUUGUUGUUAUUCCAAACAGACGAGUUCUGUGACUGAUGAUUUUUUGGAGAAAGCUGCGCCUUUCGAUGCUCCUACAGAUGCCGAAGAAACGAAUAAAAAAAGAGAUGAGGAUAAAAAGGAAAAAGAAUCAAAAUGGAAAGGACAGAAAAAUGCUUGGAAAAUAGGAUUAAUAUCUCUUGGAGCAACAGCCUUACUUAUUGGUGGCCCCUUUGUUUAUUUAAGGGGAGCACCUGUCCUGGAUCCAGGAGGGAAAGAGAUUGAAGAUGAGUUUUCUCAAUUACCAUUAGUAAUAGCUUAUUUGAAGAGAUCUUGGGUUGAAUUAAAUAAAGAAAAACAGGCAAUAAUUGAACCUUCCAGAGAAAAACUUUUACCUGAUCCUGUACAGUACCCCUAUUAUCAACCACCAUAUACUGUUGUCAUGGAGAUGAAUGAUGUAUUAGUUCACCCUGAUUGGACUUAUAACACUGGAUGGAGAUUUAAGAAGAGACCUCAUAUAGAAUAUUUUUUACAAAGUAUAGCAGCACCUUUGUAUGAAGUUGUAGUAUAUACACAGGAUUCUGGAGCAAAUGCAGAUCCUAUCCUCUUCAAUUUAGACCAAAAGGGAUAUAUAAAUUAUAGAUUAUAUCGUGAUGCAACAAGAUAUAUGCAUGGACAUCAUGUUAAGGAUCUUAGUUGUCUGAACAGGGAUUUAUCAAAAGUCAUCUUUAUAGACUGGAAUGAAAAGUCCUUCUCUCUGCAGCCCCGGAAUGCUCUCAAAGUAAACAGGUGGACAGGAGAUGAUGAUGAUAGGUCAUUGAUAGACCUAGCAAACUUCUUACAAGCCAUAGCCGCAACUAAAGUAGAUGAUGUUAGAGAAGUCUUAGACUACUAUAAAAAUUUUGAUGAUCCUCUUGAAGCAUUUAAAGAUAACCAGAGAAAAUUACAAGAAGAACAAGAAAGACAGUCAAAGUUGAUGCAGGAAAGAGAAAAGAAAAAGCCAACCAAUUUUGGACUGAAUUUUCUUGGCAGAAGAUAAUAAACUUUGUAAAUAGUUAUCUUCAUUGAAUCAAUUGUACUUGAUGUCAUAUGUAAUUUACAAUAAGUUGAAAAAUUACUAUUUCUAAGAAAAGUAUGUUGUGUCCUUAUUUGAAAUUCACUUGUGUGAUUUUUGUUUAUUGAUUCAGAAUUCCCUGUAUUUUCCCUUUGUAAAUGAGCUGGCUACGUACCAAUUUCAAUAAUAUUUGUCAACUUGCUGACAAUGAAGCUUUAAUACAGUUCUGAUAAGAUCUCUGUAUAUUUAUGGUCUUGUCAUACUUUUUUAUGUCAUAAAUUGAACAAAGAUAAUUUGAUGUCAAUGAUUUUUUUAUAUAAGAAGGCUGCACACAGAUAUGAUUUCUAUCUAAUGACAUCACAUUAUAUACAUAAGGACUGGUAUCCAAAUUAGUAGGUGUAACAGUGAUAUAGACAUGGACUGCACAUAACAUUGACAACGUCAGCAUGAUGGAGUAUGGAAUGUAAAAUCGGCAAUUUGACCUAUCCUCUCCACCGACUUGUAGUCAGGGAAUUACGAUAUAAAUUUAAAAGUCAUAUGAAAGUAAUUACAAACUUAUAUUCACAGAUAUGACAGUACAAAUUCCCCAUUGACAAAUAAAAGACUAGUUUAGUUUCAAUUUCAAUUUAUGAAUAGAAAUUUUCUACUUGAAAAUGUGCGACACAUCAUUUUUGCAUAUCCAUCUACUCCCCUUAUCAAAUCUUGUCUAAUCCCAUAUUAAAACCUGUCAUUAAAAUUUCAGCUAAAGUCUCAGGCUAAUAUUAAGACUUUAUAUUGAUAUCACUAUAAUCAGGUAUAUUGAUAUCACUAUAACCAGGACUGAUAUUUGAUAAACUAUAGUAGACGGCUUUACUUUAACUUAUAUUUUUGCAUGAAUAAUGUUUCCCCUAUAAUAAAGAGAAGCAUGUUUUAAAAUUAAGUGUGAUGGGGGUUGCUGUCUCAUUGACCUGUAAACAUUUUCCUGGGUUGUUAUUUUUCUUGAUUUCAAUGCCUAAACUUUUUAUUUGGGGGUUCAAAUUCACCCUUCAACAAUAAGUUUGCAAUUAACAGCAAUAUUAUAAGUUUCUAUAACCCAUUGUGUGGUUGGUAAUUUUAUGCAUUUCUAUCGUAGCUGGGCAUAAAAAUCAAUGUCCUCCUACACUCUUUACAGCAGUGGCUUUUCUUUGAGGUAGAUUUCAUCAUGCAGCAUCAUGAAUAGUACAGGAAGACACAGUCUUGUGCAGUGUGCAUGGUUGGUCCUCAACUUGCAUAUUAUUACACUUACAGUAGGUGUUCAAUUCCUACAAAUAAAGAUUGUUUAUAGGAAUCACCUAAUCCUGUCAUAUUUCCAAUUUGUGUAUUAUAAUGAAUCAUUGGAUCUGCCCACCUUCUUAAUCAGCACUAUUUUAACACAUUGUUCAUGUACCUAUGAUCUUUUAAGUUUUUUAAAAAAUCACAAAAUUUAUUAAUUUGAAAAAGUAGUUGACAUUUUAUAUUGGAAAUAAUAUGAAUGAUUAAUAGAAAUUAUGACACAAUCAGUUAUUAUUCUAAGAUAUAUACAUGUACUAAUUAUUGAAAUUAAAUAAAUAUUUUAUGAGUUAUACUUUGAAAUAUGCACAUUUCAACUAAAUGAUGUAAAAUUGAUUACACGUGGGAUGACACUACUUUCAUAUCACUUCACAAUUACUGCUAAAUUUUUUUUUGAUGUAUGUUUAAAGUUUUACUUUAAUAUUCGAAAUGUUAAUAACAUAGAACUUUAUUUUGAAGAUCUGCAAACUUAAGGUUUUUAGCUCACCUUUCCAAAGGAAAAGUGAGCUUUUGCCAUCACUUGGCGUCUGUCUCCGUCGUCAUUGUCUGUCCGGUGUAAACUUUUUCAAACAUCUUCUCCUCUGAAACUUAUGAACCAAUUCCAACCAAACUUAAGAUGAAUGAUCCUUAGGGUAUCUAGAAUAAACUUUGUGUUUUAUUUUCUGUUUCAUCAAAAAACAUGGUCGCCAUGGCUAAAAAUAGAACAUAAGGGUAAAAUGUAGUUUUUGGCUUUUAUGUCAAAAACUAAAGCAUUUAGAGCAAAUCUGACAUGGGGUAAAAAUUUUCAAAUCAGCCCUGAAAUUUUCAGAUGAAUCUAACGACCCAUUGUUGGGUUGCUGCCACUAAAUUGGUAAUUUUUAGGAAAUUUUGCAGUUUUCAGUUAUUAUCUUGAAUAUUAUUAUAGAUAAAGAUAAACUGUAAACAGCAAAAAUGUUCAGCAAAGUAAGAUCUACAAAUAAGUUUUAUAUGACCAAAAUUGUGAAUUGACUCCUUAAGGAGUUAUUGCCCUUUAAGGACAAUUUUACACAAUUUGUUUUCUAACUUUAAAAAAUCUUCUCCUCUGAAACUGUUGAACCAAAUUAAACCAAACUUAAGCUGAAUGAUUCUUAGGUUAUCUAGAAUAAAGUUUGUGUUUUAUUAUCUGUAUCAUGAGAACAUAGCCGCCAUGGCUAAAAAUAGAACAUAGGGUAAAAUGCAGUUUUUGACUUAUACCUCAAAAACUAAAGCAUUUAGAGCAAAUCAGACAAGAAGUAAAGGUAUUCAUUAGGUCAAGGUCUACCUGCCCUGAAAUUAUCAGCCAAAUCAGGUAUCUGAUUUUUAGGUUACAGCCCCUGAAUUGAUGAUUUUAAGGAGAUUUUGCAGUUUUCGGUUAUUAUCUUGAAUAUUAUUAUAGAUAAAGAUAAACUGUAAACAGCAAAAAUGUUUAGCAAAGUAAGAUCUACAAAUGUAGUGUAUAAUGUUGACUGGUACAAAAAUUGUCUGGCAUAUACUUCAUUCAAGAUUAAAAUUAGGUUGUUUUAGUGUUUAUUUAAAGAAAAAUAGUACAUGUCAAUAAUAUUGAUAUUUUGUCAGUGAAUACCUCUGAUUGUAAGGUGAUAUUGCCACUUAUCUUUUAUAUGUGAGUGGUUUUAUAAUUUUUUGUACAAUACACACCUAUGAAUUAUAGAAUAUAAUAUUGCAACUGUUAAACCAUCUUCAAUGGUGAUGAAUAUCUACUUAUAAAAUUUGAUCUUCUCUGCCAAUAUUUUAUGCAUGGAUUAGAAAUGAAAGUACAAACUAAAUUGAGUAUUUAUACAUGCUCACCAUGACUAUAUCAGAUUUAGACAUGUAUAAAAAUAUUCAAUUUUUAGAUGAGCCUGAUUGAGAGGGGAUUAGCUGUUCUAGAUCUUUAUUACUUAUGAAUAUUGUAUAGUAAUGUUUUGUAUACAUGUAUAUAAUUAUUAUUUGAGCCUGCAACUAAUAAAUGACUUUAUAGAAAAAAAAAAUCUAUGCUUUAAACUCAUGACUUUUUACCUUAACUUCUCCAAAAGGACUGUAUGAGCUAUUAAUUGUCAUUAAUUUAUAUUGACCAGCAUUAGUACAAAAUGUAUGAUAGCCACUGAUCAAGCAAAGAAUAAAUAAAAUGCUCUGCAGGGUGCAGCUUGUUACAACUGCAGAGGUCCAACCCUGAACAGUUGGGACAUAUAUGGACACUAACAUUUAAGCUUGAUACAGCUCUGAAUUUGGAUUGUGAUUAAAUAGUUGACACAGCAAAGGUUUCCGACACAGAAUAAAUGUAGUCCAAAAACUUAAAAAUUUGAAAUUGGACAUCUACUUAUGAUGGUCCAAUAUCCAAAAUCUAAAUUACAUGGUUAGAUUUGGCAUAUCAAAGAACCCAUGAAUUCAAUUUUUGAUGAAAUCCAGCAACGUUUAUUUUUUGACCCUUUGGGUUUAGAUUUUUUUGAGCCUGCGACUACUGUCGCAGAAAGCUCAACAUAGGGAUAGUGAUCCGGCAGCGGUGGUGGCGUUAACUAACUACUUAAAAGCUUUAUAUUUUAAAAGGUGAAAGACCUGGAUGCUUCAUACUUUGUGUAUAGAUGCCUUAUGUUAUGAAGUUUCCGUCUGUCCUUAACCUCAUUUUCAUGGUUCAGUGACUACUUGAAAAAAAAGUUAAGAUUUUUUGUAAUGUUAAUUUCUCUCUUAUUAUGAGUAAUAGGAUAUCUAUAUUUAGUAUGUGCGUACCUUGCAAGUCCUCAUGCCUGUCAGACUGUUUUCAUCUGACCUCGACCUCAUUUCAUGGAUCAGUGAACAAGGUUAAGUUUUUCGUUGUCAAGUCCAUAUAUCAGAUACUAUAAGUAAUAGGUCUAAUAUAUUUGAUGUAUGGAAUGAUUGUAAGGUGUACAUGUCCAACUGGCAGGUGUUUUCUGACCUUGACCUCAUUUUCAUGGUUCAGUGGUUAAAGUUAAGUUUUUGUGUUUUUAUACGACUGCAAAAAAAUUUUUGUGGUCGUAUAUUGGUGUGACGUUGGCGUCGUCGUCGUCGUUGCGUCGUCCAAAGACACAUUAGUUUUCGCACUCUAACUUUAAGUGAAUGGAUCUCUAUGAAAUUUUACCAUAAGGUUCAAUACCACAAAAGGAAGGUGGGGAUUGAUUUUGGGGGUUAUGGUACCAACAGUUAAGGAAUUAGGGGCCAAAAAGGGGCCAAAAAUAAGCAUUUUUGUAACUUCCAGACAUAACUUGUGUGUAAGUGUAUGGAUCUCUCUGACAUUGUACCACAAGGUUCCAUAUCACAAAGGGAAUGCUGGGAUUGAUUUUGGGGGUAAUUGCCUCCAAAUUUUAGGAAUUAGGGGCCAAAAAGGGGCAAAAAACAAGCAUUUUUCUAGUUUCAUGACAAUAACUUGUGUGUAAGUGUAUGGAUCUCUCUGACAUUGUAUCACAAGGUUCCAUAUCACAAAGGGAAUGCUGGGAUUGAUUUUGGGGGUAAUUGCCUCCAAAUUUUAGGAAUUAGGGGCCAAAAGGGUAAAAAAACAAGCAUUUUUCUAGUUUCAUGACAAUAACUUGUGUGUAAGUGGAUGGAUCUUUAUGAAAUUGUACUACAAGGUUCCAUAUCACAAAGAGAAAGCUGGGUUUGAGUUUGGGGGUAAUUGCCCAAAAAGUUUAGGAAUAAGGGGCCAAAAAGGGGCCAAAAAUAAGCAUUUUUCUAGUUUCCAGACAAUAACUUGUGUUCAAGAGUAUGGAUCUCUCUGAAAUUGUACUGCAAGGUACCAUACCACAAAGGGAAGGCUGGGAUUGAUUUUGGGGGUAAUUCCCUCAAAAUUUUAGGAAUUAGGGGCCAUAAAAGGGCAAAAAAACAAGCAUUUUUCUAGUUUCAGGACAAUAACUUGUGUGUAAGUGUAUGGAUCUUUAUGAAAUUGUACUACAAGGUUCCAUAUCACAAAGGGAAAGCUGGGUUUGAGUUUGGGGGUAAUUGCCCUAAACGUUUAGGAAUUUGGGGCCAAAAAGGGGCCAAAAAACACAUUUUUUUCUAGUUUCCAGACAAUAACUUGUGUUCAAGUGUAUGGAUCUCUCUGAAAUUGUACUGCAAGGUACCAUACCACAAAGGGAAGGCUGGGAUUGAGUUUGGGGGUGAUGAAUCAUAAUGGGGGUUCAAAAAAUUUUGGGGGGGGAUUUAUUUUUUUUUCCUUUUUUUUCUUUUUUUCCUUUUUUGUUUCUUUUAAAAUUUUUCAUUUUAAGUUGGUUAUUUCUGAUUUAUAUUAAAAAUCAAAUAAUAAUGAUAUGGUAGGAGAUACACACCAAACAGGAUAUGUAAAUUAUUAUAUAAUAAGUAUUGUGCAAUAGCAAGAAAUCUUCAAUUGCACAGUAUUGCGCAAUAGCAAGAAAUCUUCAAUUGCACAGUAUUGCGCAAUAGCAAGAAAUAUCCAAUAGCACAAUAUUGCGCAAUAGCAAGAAAUUGUCAAUUGUACAGUAUUGCGCAAUAGCAAGAAAUAUUUAAUAGCACAGGAUUGUGCAAAAGAAGAUACUUCCUAUAAAUUGCUUAUUUCUUGACCAAUUUCAAUGGGGUUUUAUUCUUGAUUUCAUGGGGUUCUUUAAUAUGCUGAAUCUAACCGUGUAUUUAGUUUUUGGAUUUUGGGCCCCGUUUUUAAAUUGGUCCACAUUGAGGUCCAAAGGGUCCAAAAUUAAACUUUGUUUGAUUUCAUCAAAAAUUGAAUUAUUGGGGUUCUUUGAUAUGCCGAAUCUAACUGUGUAUUUAGAUUCUUAAAUUUUGGUUCCUUUUUCAAAUUGGUCUACAUUAAGGUCCAAAGGGUCCAAAAUUAAACUUAGUUUGAUUUUAACAAAAAUUGAAUUCUUAGGGUUCUUUGAUAUGCUGAAUCUAAACAUGUAUUUAGAUUUUUGAUUAUGGGCCCAGUUUUCAAGUUGGUCCAAAUCGGGGUCCAAAAUUAAACUUUGUUUGAUUUCAACAAAAAUUGAAUAUAUGGGGUUCUUUGAUAUGCUGAAUCUAACCAUGUAUUUAGAUUUUUGAUUUUUGGGCCCCGUUAUCAACUUUGUCCACAUUGAGGUCAAAAGGGUCCAAAAUUAAACUUUGUUUGAUUUCAUCAAAAAUUGAAUUCUUGGGGUUCUUUGAUAUGCUGAAUCUAACCAUGUAUUUAGAUUUUGGAUAUUGGACCAUAAUAGGUGAAUGUCCAAUUUAAAAAUUUUAAGUUCUUAGACCACAUUCAUUCUGUGUCAGAAACCUAUGCUGUGUCAAAUAUUUAAUCACAAUCCAAAUGCAAAGCUGUAUCAAGCUUGAAUGUUGUGUCCAUACUUGCCCCAACUGUUCAGGGUUCGACCUCUGCGGUCGUAUUAGCUGCGGCCUGCGGAGCAUUUUAUUUUAGAUUGUCAAGUGACAAAUACAGAUUUUUGAUUAAUAUUAUCAUUUACAUGACGCCUUCAGUUUCUAUUUCAUUGUUCAAGCUAUAAGUCAUCCUGUUGGUAGCUGUAUUAUUCAGGUUUUUAAUACGACCUCAAAAAAUCAUAUAUUGCUAUCAUGUCGUCUUCCGAAGACAUUUGUUUUCCAGACAAUAACUUUAGUUUAAGUGUAUGGAUCUCUAUGAAAUUUACUGAAAAGGUUCAAUACCACAAAAGGAAGGUUGGGAUUGUUUUUUGGGGUGAUGGUCCCAACCGUUUAGGAAUUGGGGGCCAAAAAGGGGCCCAAAACAAGCAUUCUAGUUUCAGGACAAUAACUUGUCUAUAAGUAUUUUGAUAGCUCUGAAAUUGUACCACAAGGUUCAAACCACAGGUAGAAGGUUGGGAUACAUUUUGGGAGUAAUUGCCUAAACUGUUCAGGAAUUAGGGUUCAAAAAAGAUUUUUAUACGACCGCUUGUAUAUUGGUAUGACGUUGGUGUCGUCGUCUUCGUCCGAGGACACAUGGGUUUUCGCACUCUAACUUUAGUUAAAGUGAAUGGAACUCUAUGAAUUUUUACCAUAAGGUUCAAUACCACAAAAGGAAGGUUGGGAUUGAUUUUGGGGGUUAUGGUACCAACAGUUGAGGAAUUAGGGGCCAAAAAGGAGCCAAAAAUAAGCAUUUUUGUAACUUCCAGACAUAACUUGUGUAUUAGAGUAUGGAUCUCUAUGAAAUUGUACUACAAGGUUCCAUAUCACAAAGGGAAAGCAGGGUUUGAGUUUGGGGGUAAUUGCCCUAAAUGUUUAGGAAUAAGGGGCCAAAAAACAAGCAUUUUUCUAGUUUCCAGACAAUAACUUGUGUUCAAGUAUAUGGAUCUCUCUGAAAUUGUACUGCAAGGUACUAUAUCACAAAGGGAAGGCUGGGAUUGAGUUUGGAGGUGAUGAAUCAUAAGGGGGUUCAAAAAAUUGGGGGGG